rnacentral:misc_RNA from 1 species
GAUGAAGAACGCAGCGAAAUGCGAUAAGUAGUGUGAAUUGCAGAAUUCAGUGAAUCAUCGAAUCUUUGAACGCACAUUGCGCCCUUUGGUAUUCCUUAGGGCAUGCCUGUUCGAGCGUCAUUUAAACCUUCAAGCUAGGCUUGGUGUUGGGUGACUGUCCGCUUCACGGCGGACUCGCCUCAAAAUUAUUGGCGGCCGGUACAUUGGCUUCGAGCGCAGCAGAAACGCGAACUCGGGCCCGUCGUAUUGGCUCCCAGAAGCUAUCUUCACAAUUUUGACCUCGGAUCAGGUAGGGAUACCCGCUGAACUUAAGCAUAUCAAUAAGCGGAGGA